UACGAAGGGGGCUAGCGUUGCUCGGAAUUACUGGGCGUAAAGCGCACGUAGGCGGCUCUUUAAGUCGGAGGUGAAAUCCUGGAGCUCAACUCCAGAACUGCCUUCGAUACUGAAGAGCUCGAGUCCGGGAGAGGUGAGUGGAACUGCGAGUGUAGAGGUGAAAUUCGUAGAUAUUGGGAAGAACACCGGUGGCGAAGGCGGCUCACUGGCCCGUAACUGACGCUCAUGCACGACAGCGUGGGGAUCAAACAGG
rnacentral:rRNA from 1 species